rnacentral:lncRNA from 1 species
UGAGGUGCACCUGAGACAUAUUCUGUCUUGUCGGAGAGUACCCUGAUAGCGACCUUGUUCAAUUCUUAGUCUGUGAGAAGAAAUACGCAAUCGAGUGAAAUUUCUCCUCUGCUCAGGUGAUUGUAAUAUAGUAAGGUAUCUUUCAAGACCAAAAUGAGUCUUAAAAGUGCUAUAGCUACAAAGCUUCCCAUCAGCACAAUUGUGCAUUUGGUUUCUCCACUGUAUUUCAUAGUGCUCAUACAAAAACUUUUUAAUUAAAAUUUUGAAUCUAAAGUUGCUUGCAAAGGUUAGACUGUCAACCCCA